UCGCCCUUGUGCCAGCCGCCGCGGUAAUACGUAGGGUCCAAGCGUUAUUCGGAAUUACUGGGCGUAAAGCGUACGUAGGCGGUUUGGUAAGUUGGAUGUGAAAUCCUGUGGCUCAACCACAUGGACUGUGUCCAAAACUACCAAACUUGAGCAUAGUAGAGGCAAGUGGAAUUUGCGGUGUAGGAGUGACAUCCGUAGAUAUCGCAAGGAACACCAAUGGCGAAGGCAGCUUGCUGGGCUAUUGCUGACGCUCAGGUACGAAAGCGUGGGGAGCGAACGGGAUUAGAUACCCCGGUAGUCCACGCCGUAAACGAUGAUCACUAACAGUAUGGAGAUUCGACCCUCUGUGUUGUAAAGCUAACGCGUUAAGUGAUCCGCCUGGGGAGUACGGGCGCAAGCUUAAAACUCAAGGGAAUUGACGGGGACCCGCACAAGCAGUGGAGGAUGUGGUUUAAUUCGACGCUAAGCGAAGAACCUUACCGAGGUUUGACAUCCCAGGAAAUCUAAGGAAACUAAGAUGUGCCUUCGGGAACCUGGUGACAGGUGCUGCAUGGCCGUCGUCAGCUCGUGUCGUGAGAUGUUGGGUUAAGUCCCGCAACGAGCGCAGCCCUCGUCUUAAGUUACUAUGUCUUAAGAGACCGCCUGGGUUAACCAGGAGGAAGGUGGGGAUGACGUCUGGUCAGCAUGGCCCUUACACCUCGGGCCACACACGUCCUACAAUGGCCGUUACAACGCGCUAGCCAAGCCGUAAGGCGGAGCGAAUCGCAUCAAAAGCGGCCUCAGUUCGGAUUGAGGGCUGAAACUCGCCCUCAUGAAGCCGAUUGCUAGUAAUGGUGGAUCAGAAUGCCGCCGUGAAUACGUUCUCGGGUCUUGCACACACCCCC
rnacentral:rRNA from 1 species